rnacentral:rRNA from 1 species
AGUAAAAGUCGUAACAAGGUCUCCGUUGGUGAACCAGCGGAGGGAUCAUUACCGAGGUGCCCAACUCAUGACACAUGUGAAUGUUCAUCCCUGUUGUUUUGGCGGGAUGCCCCAGGGAGGGGCUGUGGCCGUCUGGUGCCCGCCGGAGCAUUCCUAGACACGACGUCCCGGCCUCUCUGAGACUACACCAAUGAACUAAAACUUUCAACAGCGGAUCUCUUGGUUCUGGCAUCGAUGAAGAACGCAGCAAAAUGCGAUAAGUAAUGUGAAUUGCAGAACUCAGCGAAUCAUCGAAUCUUUGAACGCACAUUGCGCCUGCCGGCAUCCCGGUAGGCAUGCCUGUCCGAGCGUCAUUUUGUCCACUCAGGCAAAAGCCUGGUGUUGGGGCGCCGCGGCUGCUGCGGGCCCUGGAAAUCUGUGGCGGCCGGGUUGGAGCCUCGAGCAUAGUAGUACCGACCUUGCCCGAAGUGUUCCUGCUCGUCCUUGCCGUAAAAUGGAAUCAUGAAUAGGGUUGACCUCGGAUCAGGUAGGAAUACCCGCUGAACUUAAGCAUAUCAAUAAGCGGAGGAAAAGAAACCAACAGGGAUUGCCUCAGUAACG